rnacentral:rRNA from 1 species
AACGAACGCUGGCGGCAUGCCUAACACACGCAAGUCGAACGAGACCUUCGGGUCUAGUGGCGCACGGGUGCGUAACGCGUGGGAAUCUGCCCUUAGGUUCGGAAUAACAGUGAGAAAUUACUGCUAAUACCGGAUGAUGUCUUCGGACCAAAAAUUUAUAGCCCAGGGAUGAGCCCGCGUAGGAUUAGGUAGUUGGUGGGGUAAUGGCCUACCAAGCCGACGAUCCUUAGCUGGUCUGAGAGGAUGAUCAGCCACACUGGGACUGAGACACGGCCCAGACUCCUACGGGAGGCAGCAGUGGGGAAUAUUGGACAAUGGGCGAAAGCCUGAUCCAGCAAUGCCGCGUGAGUGAUGAAGGCCUUAGGGUUGUAAAGCUCUUUUACCAGGGAUGAUAAUGACAGUACCUGGAGAAUAAGCUCCGGCUAACUCCGUGCCAGCCGCCGCAGUAACAC